AUUGAACGCUGGCGGCAGGCCUAACACAUGCAAGUCGAGCGAGCGGCGGACGGGUGAGUAAUGUAUGGGGCCUGCCCGAGAGAGAGGGAUAACUACUGGAAACGGUGGCUAAUACCGCAUACUAGCGGAUGACCCAUAUGGGAUUAGCUAGGAGGUGGGGUAAAGGCUCACCUAGGCGACGAUCUCGAGCUGGUCUGAGAGGAUGAUCAGCCACACGUGAACGGAGACACGGCCCAGACUCCUACGGAGGCAGCAGUGGGGAAUAUUGCACAAUGGGCGAAAGCCUGAUGCAGCCAUGCCGCGUGUAUGAAGAAGGCCUUAGGAUUGUAAAGAACUUUAAGCGGGGAGGCGUUACCCGCAGAAGAAGCACCGGCUAACUCCGUGCCAGCAGCCGCGGUAAUAC
rnacentral:rRNA from 1 species